rnacentral:rRNA from 1 species
GAGUUUGAUCCUGGCUCAGAUUGAACGCUGGCGGCAUGCCUUACACAUGCAAGUCGAGCGGCAGCGCGGGGGCAACCCUGGCGGCGAGCGGCGAACGGGUGAGUAAUGACAUCGGAACGUGGUCCUACUUGUGGGGGAUAACCAGUCGAAAGACUGCUAAUACCGCAUGAGAUCGAGAGAUGAAAGCAGGGGACCGCAAGGCCUUGCGCGAGGAGGAGCGGCCGAUGCCGGAUUAGCUAGUUGUGGGUAACGCUACCAAGGCGACGAUCCGUAGCUGGUCUGAGAGGACGACCAGCCACACUGGGACUGAGACACGGCCCAGACGUCCUACGGGAGGCAGGCAGUGGGGAAUUUUGGACAAUGGGGGCAACCCUGAUCCAGCCAAUGCCGCGUGUGUGAAGAAGGCCUGUUG